UGGGGAAGAGAUAGGCUGAAUGUCUGAACAGAGUGCCAGCCUCAUCAAUGUGCUAGUCCAAAGACAGGGUAGCUACUGAACGGAACUCGAGUGAAAAUCCCGGGAAAGACUCCAGAUGUGGCAACUCUACAGUGCUGGUAAAUCAUGGAUAAUUUAAAAGCAAAAGAACCUUUAGGACCAUUGGGCCUGCCUCUUUCAUCUCCUCGCCCUCAUAAUUGCCCUCCAUUGCAAGACCUCCUCCGUGCCUGCACCCAAACUGGACACAGAGCUGAGACUCACAUCAGAGUUGGUGGUUCCCUGGAGCUUCCCAGUGAAGAUUCGGGCAUAGAUCAGCAAGAUUGGUUGGGGUAGACAAGCCACAUGUUCCAGAUGCAUUUGGGAACAACUUCCUGGCAGGGAGUGGGUGGGACUAUACCUCAGUCCUGGAUCACAACACUUUACAGCUCAAACCUGCACUCAUGUAUCACUUAGGAGACAUCCUUUCCCAGCCAAAUCUCCAUUUCCCGCCAUGUAACUUUUUACGAGUAGAGCUGGAGGUGUGAUCUACCCCACAAGUCCUGAAAUUAGUUGUCACUUAUAGGAUACAACUGAUCUGAAGCUUAACAAAAUGUUCUAUUCCCUUUUAAUUGUGCUGAUGAUGUAAGUUUAUUUUGCUUCUAAAUAUUUUUAUUGAAUAUUUACAUGUAUUUACAUUUGAAAUGUUAUUUCCUUUCCUCCCCUUUUGUAGCAUCUCCCCUCCCCCUGCUUCUACGAAGAUGCUCCCACUCCCACCCACCUACUCCUCCCUCAACACCCUGGCAUUCCCCUACACUGGAAAAAACAAGGCUUCACAGGACCCAGGGCUUCCCCUAUUGGUGCCAGACAAUGCCAUCCUUUGCUACAUAUGCGGCCGAAGCCAUGGGUCCCUACAUGUGUACUCUUUGGUUAGUGGUUUAGUCCCUGGGAGCUCUGGGGGUCUGGUUGGUUGAUAUUGUUGCUCUUCCUAUGGGGUUGCAAACCCCUUCAGCUCCUUCAGUCCUUUCCCUAACUCCUCCAUUGGGGUUCCUCUGCUCAGUCUGACGGUUAGCUGCAAGCAUCUUCAUCUGUGAUGCUGUAAGUUUUAAAAAAGACUUGUUCAUUUUUCAUUUUCUCUGUGGGGUUAUUUAGCCUGCAUGUAUGUCUGUGAGUAAUAUAUGUGCAGUGCCUACAAAGGCCAGAAGAGGGUGUCAGAGCUCUUGUAACUGGAGUAACAGAUGGUUUUGGCUACCGUGUUGGUGCUAGGAAUUGAAACCCUUCUCUGGAAGAACAACCAAUGUUCUAGCUGCUGAGGCAUCUCU